CAGAGUUGCAAGACUCCCUAAACCAUUGUGAACCUACCUUCUACCGUUGCUUCGGCGGGGCGGGCCCAGCGCCCCCCCCGGCCCCCCGCGGGCGCCCGCCGGAGGAUACCCAAACUCUUGACAUUAGUGGCCUCUCUGAGUAUUCUUUACUGAAUAAGUCA
rnacentral:misc_RNA from 1 species